CCUACGUGUGGCAGCAGUGGGGAAUAUUGCACAAUGGGGGAAACCCUGAUGCAGCGACGCCGCGUGAAGGAAGAAGUAUUUCGGUAUGUAAACUUCUAUCAGCAGGGGAGAAAAUGACGGUACCUGACUAAGAAGCCCCGGGUAACUACGUGCCAGCAGCCGCGGUCAUACGUAGGGGGCCAGCGUUAUCCGGAUUUACUGGGGGGAAAGGGCGCGUAGGCGGCGAUGCAAGUCAGAGGUGAAAGCUCGGGGGUCAACUCCGGGACUGCUUUUGAAACUGUAUGGCUAGAUUGGAGGAGAGGCAAGUGGAAUUCCUAGUGUAGCGGUGAAAUGCGUAGAUAUUAGGAGGAACACCAGUGGCGAAGGCGGCUUGCUGGACUGUAAAUGACGCUGAGGCUCGAAAGCGUGGGGAGCAAACAGGAUUAGAUACCCGUGUAGUC
rnacentral:rRNA from 1 species